GCCCGCGAGUACAGCGCCCGCCCCUUCCGCUUCCGGCGCCGGGACCGCCGCCAUGCUGGGGGAUCUGCUGCUCUGCGGGUAGCGGGCCGGGCCCGGGGCGCGGGGAGGGCUGCUGGGGCCCGGCCGCGCCUGACGCACUCUCUCUGUCUCUCCUCAGAACGCUGCUGGUGAACGCCGGCGCUGUGCUGAACUUCAGACUGUGAGCGGGGAUCGGGCCGGGGUGGGAGGGCGUGGGAACCCCGGGCCUGGCGCUGCGGGACCGCUCUGGGCCCGGCGCUGCGCGCGGUAACGGCGCUUCUCUUCCCGCAGGAGGAGGAGAGACACGGAGGGCUUCGGCGAGGGGGCGAGGGAGCCCACCACCGGUGACAAUAUCAGAGAGUUCUUGCUGAGCCUUAGGUAUUUCCGAAUCUUCAUUGCCUUGUGGAAUGUCUUCAUGAUGUUCUGCAUGAUUGUGUUAUUUGGAUCUUGAAAGUCAUCCACAAACAUGGCUGGUAACUUGGAAGAGACUUUUGGCUGCAAACAUAACUUUUCUAUCAAGUAAAAGAUUAUAAUGCUUUCCAAACACAGCCCUGGGAUUGUGACAGUUCUUCAGCACGAGCUCCGAGGGGCAGCACAGCACACAGCCCCCCCAGCCAGCUGUGUAAGGCUGUGGGUGUGUGGGGCUGCGUGCUGCAGGGCAGGGAGCCUUCCAGCCCCUGAGCCAAAGGCCUCAAAGUAAAAUUAAUUCAACUUCACCGGGAGGAAAAAAACAACCCACCCACCUUUACAGUGGGUUGCUCAGCAUUCUGUGCCCGAUGUGCAGCGGAUUGCAGCUGACUGACAGCCACAGCCGUGCAGCUCUGCCUCAUCGCUCACCCCACGUUCUGCUGCGUCUGCCGUCACCGCGCUGUGGGCCACAUGGAAGUCACACCUCAUUACUGUGACGCGGAGUGAAGAAUUGAUGUAACUUGGAAAAAAAAAAAAGGCAUUUUUCCCUCACAAUUCCAUUUUUCUUUGGAAAUGUAGAAAUAGGCAUCUCAAAAAAGGGUCCUCACUUCCUCACUUUUUCCCCCAACAAAUUCAUUUUUAGAUACAAAUUUGAAGAUAAGGGGUUUUUUCCUCAGCAAUCCGUAAGGGACUUUGAACAGGAAAACAUCUGUGAUGCCGAGGAGGUUUUGGGAUCAUUUUGGAUUCGGUUGAAUAAAAAAGUUCUAUUUAAG
rnacentral:lncRNA from 1 species